GAUGAACGCUGGCGGCGUGCCUAAUACAUGCAAGUCGAGCGAAUGGAUUAAGAGCUUGCUCUUAUGAAGUUAGCGGCGGACGGGUGAGUAACACGUGGGUAACCUGCCCAUAAGACUGGGAUAACUCCGGGAAACCGGGGCUAAUACCGGAUAACAUUUUGAACCGCAUGGUUCGAAAUUGAAAGGCGGCUACGGCUGUCGCUUAUGGAUGGACCCGCGUCGCAUUAGCUAGUUGGUGAGGUAACGGCUCACCAAGGCAACGAUGCGUAGCCGACCUGAGGGGGUGCUCGGCCACACUGGGACUGAGACACGGCCCAGACUCCUACGGGAGGCAGCAGUAGGGAAGCUUCCGCAGUGGACGAAAGUCUGACGGAGCAACGCCGCGUGAGUGAUGAAGGCUUUCGGGUCGUAAAACUCUGUUGUUAGGGAAGAACAAGUGCUAGUUGAAUAAGCUGGCACCUUGACGGUACCUAACCAGAAAGCCACGGCUAACUACGUGCCAGCAGCCGCAGUAA
rnacentral:rRNA from 1 species